rnacentral:rRNA from 1 species
UUAAAUUGAAGAGUUUGAUCAUGGCUCAGAUUGAACGCUGGCGGCAGGCCUAACACAUGCAAGUUGAACGGU